GACGAACGCUGGCGGCGUGCUUAACACAUGCAAGUCGAACGGAAAGGCCCUGCUUUUGUGGGGUGCUCGAGUGGCGAACGGGUGAGUAACACGUGAGUAACCUGCACUUGACUUUGGGAUAACUUCAGGAAACUGGGGCUAAUACCGGAUAGGAGCUCCUGCUGCAUGGUGGGGGUUGGAAAGUUUCGGCGGUUGGGGAUGGACUCGCGGCUUAUCAGCUUGUUGGGGGGGUAGUGGCUUACCAAGGCUUUGACGGGUAGCCGGCCUGAGAGGGUGACCGGCCACAUUGGGACUGAGAUACGGCCCAGACUCCUACGGGAGGCAGCAGUGGGGAAUAUUGCACAAUGGGCGGAAGCCUGAUGCAGCAACGCCGCGUGCGGGAUGACGGCCUUCGGGUUGUAAACCGCUUUCGCCUGUGACGAAGCGUGAGUGACGGUAAUGGGUAAAGAAGCACCGGCUAACUACGUG
rnacentral:rRNA from 1 species